GUACUCACUAUAGUAGUGCUCUAUACUAAACUUGGAAUGAUACAGAGAAGAUUAGAAUGGGCCCUGCACAAGGAUGACAUGAAAAUUUUGUGAAACAUUCCAUAUUUUU
rnacentral:snRNA from 1 species